GACAUAGGUGGCAAACGUUAUCCGGAAUUAUUGGGCGUAAAGAGCUCGUAGGUGGUUCGGUAAGUCGGGUGUUAAACCCCCAGGCUCAACCUGGGGACGCCACUCGAUACUGCUGUGACUAGAGUCCGGUAGGGGAGCGUGGAAUUCCUGGUGUAGCGGUGAAAUGCGCAGAUAUCAGGAGGAACACCAGCGGCGAAGGCGGCGCUCUGGGCCGGUACUGACACUGAGGAGCGAAAGCGUGGGUAGCAAACAGG
rnacentral:rRNA from 1 species